AUUUUGUUCCUUCUUUGGGUUCGAGUUUCUGGUGGAUGUUGUGCAAAUUGUUUACUAGAGUUGGCAUUUGUGUGUUAGCUUAUUUAUUUUGUCUACAUGGUAGUAUAAAAAAUAUCGUGGUCUUAUCUCAGCUAUUCCAUGGCCCUUAUUACUUGACACUAAAAUGUGGACAGAUCAAAUUAUAGGCAGUUUGAGUUGGCACCUAAAUGCUCAAUUGAACCAUGUAGCUUCUAGAAGGCAUACGCCUGACUCAUAGAUCCAUGUAGAUUUAAUAAUGCAUGAUACCUCAUCCUAUAUGAUUUAAAUUUGUUUUGCUGACUUUAGAAUUUCUAAUGACAUAGAAUGCAUGUUUAUAUGUUUAAAGGAAUACCUAUAAUGGAGGAUGAUUUGGCUUGAUACAGUUUUUGAAAUGAACCAGUUAAUUUUCAGUACCGUUUGCUUUUCUGUAUUGGGCAUUGUUGUUAAUAACGUCUGCAGUGUAUUUGACUAUAGUGAGUUGAUAUAUGGAAAUUGGUUUUUUGCAAAUGCCUUGAAAUGGCAUUGUGAUGUGAAUGAGAUCAGGAUGGGUAUUCUAGGGAGCUUGGUUAUCUGUUCUUCUUUUGGCUUGCAUGCAUUCCCUUACAUAUUACAAUCAUUAGAUCAAUCUUGACUUAGAAGAAAUUUUAUCCUGCAGAAAUAAGAUCCUUACUGAAAUCAUGAAAGAUUUGACCCAUUAUGCCGUCCUUGAAAAGGUCAUUGCUGCAUAAAUGUAGAUUUUGUGAUUUUUCUGAUAGCCUGGUGCUUUCUUGUAUUGACUUUUUGGUUAAUCUUGGCUGGUUUUGCUACCCAAACGGGAUGUGCAUAUGGUAAGAAGGUACAAUAGGGAACACUUGUUGGAUAAUUGGGACUUCAGGUUAAAUGCAUGCCUAAACACUAACUUCUUUUCUAUCAUCUUUUCAUUGGCAACCCCAUUGGGUUGGCCUAAUGGAGAAGAGUUGGGACUUGAUAGUGUGCUCUUGUCCAGGAUCCCAGGGGCUAUUAGACUUGGGCAAAACCCAUGAAUUAACCAUGGUGCACUCACAGGAAACUCCUUGCCGAGGGCAUGUGCAUCCUUGGGAUUAGUCGGGCCUUGGCCUGGAUACCUGGUGCUAAUAAAAUAAAAAAAUCUUU